rnacentral:rRNA from 1 species
GUGAGUAAUACAUCGGAACAUAUCCAGUAGCGGGGGAUAACCUAUCGAAAGAUUGGCUAAUACCGCAUACGAUCUACGGAUGAAAGCAGGGGACCGCAAGGCCUUGCACUAUUGGAGUGGCCGAUGUCAGAUUAGCUAGUUGGUGGGGUAAAAGCCUACCAAGGCGACGAUCUGUAGCUGGUCUGAGAGGACGAUCAGCCACACUGGAACUGAGACACGGUCCAGACUCCUACGGGAGGCAGCAGUGGGGAAUUUUGGACAAUGGGCGCAAGCCUGAUCCAGCCAUGCCGCGUGAGUGAAGAAGGCCUUCGGGUUGUAAAGCUCUUUCGGUGAAGACGAAACGGUUAGCGUUAAUAACGCUGACUAAUGACGGUACUCACAGAAGAAGCACCGGCUAACUACGUGCCAGCAGCCGCGGUAAUACGUAGGGUGCAGGCGUUAAUCGGAAUUACUGGGCGUAAAGCGUGCGCAGGCGGUUUGCUAAGACAGGUGUGAAAUCCCCGGGCUUAACCUGGGAAUUGCGCUUGUAACUGGCAAGCUAGAGUGUGGCAGAGGGGGGUGGAAUUCCACGUGUAGCAGUGAAAUGCGUAGAUAUGUGGAGGAACACCGAUGGCGAAGGCAGCCCCCUGGGUUAACACUGACGCUCAGGCACGAAAGCGUGGGGAGCAAACAGGAUUAGAUACCCUGGUAGUCCACGCCCUAAACUAUGUCAACUAGUUGUCGGGGAAGAAAUUCCUUGGUAACGAAGCUAACGCGUGAAGUUGACCGCCUGGGGAGUACGGCCGCAAGGUUAAAACUCAAAGGAAUUGACGGGGACCCGCACAAGCGGUGGAUUAUGU